UUUAGUCUUGUCCUGAUAACUAGAACUGCUGUGAUGUUGCUCUGUUAUAAGUACAUUGCCUACACCAGUUGAAAUAACUCAUGGUUGCCUUUUCUUUUGUUUGUCCAGGCAAUGUAUGGUAGAAGGUGUAAAUAGUGUAGAUUCAGUGUUCUGUAUAUUUAUGAAAUUCACAAUCAGUAGUGUCAUGUGUGAUGCGCCAUGAAUCGUAGUGAGCUUAUUUCUUUGCACACUUGGUGUAUCCUCUUAUCAUCUUUUGUACAGGUCCUGGAAUGGAAAGAUCAGUUUGGUGGUGCCAUACUGAAUCAAUUAUGUAGGCUUGGCACCUCCCUUGAUUGGUCCGUGAGAUGUAAUCUAUUGCCUCUCUGAUGUGAUCUGCUACAAAAUUAUGUCUCAACCAUCUCUAUUUACAUUACUAUUGUAAGAUUCUGAAAGGUAAAUUAUGCUAGGACAAUUCUUGUUUAGCUUUAACUAUGAUAUCCUAAAUGCGCAAGUAAAUACUACUGGGAUUACGACUACAAAAAAUAUUAUGACAUGCGAACAAUUCUUGGUUGAAAUACUGUGAGCUUAAAUAACAGGAGCUAAACUGUUUUGCUGUGUUUAGAAUUGGUACUAGAAAAGAUAAUCUAAACUGUACAUUCUGAAAGUAUAUUGGACUCUUGCCCUUCUGAAAUUAGUCUUCUAAGCAUUACUUUGUAACAAAUGACAUGAUAACUUGCUGGUUCAGUUUAAAGUUGCAGGCAAACGCUUGCGAGCAACCCUCAGCUGGUCAUCAUCGCUCAUGAUGUUGACCCAGUUGAGCUGGUUGUGUGGUUCCCAGCCCUGUGCAGGAAAUUGGGAGGUCCCAAACCGCAUUGUUAAGGGAGAAUCACACCGUGGACCCUGUAGGUAUUUCCUAAUGUAAGUGUCAUGUUUUCCUUCUUUCUGCACCUGGACGGGAGUGCUCAUGAGAGCGACGACAUGCUACUGAACUCAAUUUCAGAAAUGAAUUUGGGGGCCUGCGGUCUGGAGCCCCUCAUUAGAAGUGCUCAGGCGGCAUGUCAAGUUGUUUGCUGAGAAUUUACCAAGAACAAUUUUUGCUUGUCUCUAGCAUGAGGCUAUGAGCCCUAUAGUAGUUCCAGUGUGAUGAUCUACCACUUGUCUAGGAAGGGGGAUUAAAAGAUGGCACUUGUCAUUUGGAGCAAUUAGUAUUGGACUAUUUGAGGAAGUAAAUGUUUAAACCACUAAACCUUAUACUCAUUUGUAAAAAGGUUAUGUGUUUUUUUAAUCCAUUAGCAGAGUUAGUUUGUCUAGAAUAACUAACUAUCUGGAGUUCUGGACUAAUAUGGAAUGAUGAAAAUUUCAGAACUAGAUAUAAAAUUUGAUGCGUCUGGCUUGUUUACCUUGCAGUCUUUAUUUCUAAUAAUUUUCUUGUUGUUGAGGUUGCCCCUAGGUUUUAUUACUGUGGGUCUAAUUUAGAUAAUUUGAAAAUAGUCCUAUAUAGGAGUAUGCUCAUCUAUAACAGUUGGGAGGGAAAUCAUACCAAUUACAGAUUUUGUCAAAACUUGGCA